rnacentral:rRNA from 1 species
AGGGUUUGAUCAUGGCUCAGAACGUACGCUGGCGGCACGCCUAACACAUGCAAGUCGAACGAAGUAGCAAUACUUAGUGGCAGACGGGUGAGUAACAUGUAGGUAUCUGCCCUUUGGCCUGGAAUAACACGAGGAAACUUGUGCUAAUACCGGAUAAGUCUUUACGGAGAAAGCUUUAUGCACCAUUGGAUGAGCCUGCACUUGAUUAGUUUGUUGGUGGGGUAAUGGCCUACCAAGACUGUGAUCAAUAGCUGAUUUGAGAGGAUGAUCAGCCACAUUGGGACUGAGACACGGCCCAAACUCCUACGGGAGGCAGCAGUGGGGAAUCUUGCACAAUGGAGGAAACUCUGAUGCAGCGAUGCCGCGUGAGUGAAGAAGGCCCUUGGGUUGUAAAGCUCUUUCGUCGGGGAAGAAAAUGACUGUACCCGAAUAAGAAGGUCCGGCUAACUUCGUGCCAGCAGCCGCGGUAAUACGAAGGGACCUAGCGUAGUUCGGAAUUACUGGGCUUAAAGAGUUCGUAGGUGGUUGAAAAAGUUGGUGGUGAAAUCCCAGAGCUUAACUCUGGAACUGCCAUCAAAACUUUUCAGCUAGAGUAUGAUAGAGGAAAGCAGAAUUUCUAGUGUAGAGGUGAAAUUCGUAGAUAUUAGAAAGAAUACCAAUUGCGAAGGCAGCUUUCUGGAUCAUUACUGACACUGAGGAACGAAAGCAUGGGUAGCGAAGAGGAUUAGAUACCCUCGUAGUCCAUGCCGUAAACGAUGUGUGUUAGACGUUGGAAAUUUAUUUUCAGUGUCGCAGCGAAAGCGAUAAACACACCGCCUGGGGAGUACGACCGCAAGGUUAAAACUCAAAUGAAUUGACGGGGACCCGCACAAGUAGUGGAGCAUGUGGUUUAAUUCGAAGAUACGCGCAGAACCUUACCAACACUUGACAUGUUCGUCGCGACUUUAAGAGAUUAAAGUUUUCGGUUCGGCCGGACGAAACACAGGUGCUGCAUGGCUGUCGUCAGCUCGUGUCGUGAGAUGUUGGGUUAAGUCCCGCAACGAGCGCAACCCUCACUUUUAGUUGCCAUCAUUUAGUUGGGCACUCUGAAAGAACUGCCAGUGAUAAGCUGGAGGAAGGUGGGGAUGACGUCAAGUCCUCAUGGCCCUUACGUGUUGGGCUACACACGUGCUACAAUGGUAUCUACAACAGGAAGCAAAACUGCGAAGUUAAGCAAAUCCUUAAAAGAUACCUCAGUUCGGAUUGCACUCUGCAACUCGAGUGCAUGAAGCUGGAAUUACUAGUAAUCGUGGAUCAGCGUGCCACGGUGAAUGCGUUCCCGGGUCUUGUACACACCGCCCGUCACACCAUGGGAGUUGGUUCUACCUUAAGGCAAGGUUUCAAACCCUUGACCACGGUAUAGUCAGCGACUGGGGUGAAGUCAUAACAAGGUAGCCGUA